rnacentral:rRNA from 1 species
UACGGAGGAUCCAAGCGUUAUCCGGAAUCAUUGGGUUUAAAGGGUCCGUAGGCGGAUUAGUAAGUCAGUGGUGAAAGUUUGCAGCUUAACUGUAAAAUUGCCAUUGAUACUGCUAGUCUUGAAUGAUUAUGAAGUGGCUAGAAUAUGUAGUGUAGCGGUGAAAUGCUUAGAUAUUACAUGGAAUACCAAUUGCGAAGGCAGGUCACUAAUAAUUUAUUGACGCUGAUGGACGAAAGCGUGGGUAGCGAACAGG